GACGAACGCUGGCGGCGUGCCUAAUACAUGCAAGUCGAACGAAACUUUCUUACACCGAAUGCUUGCAUUCACCGUAAGAAGUUGAGUGGCGGACGGGUGAGUAACACGUGGGUAACCUGCCUAAAAGAAGGGGAUAACACUUGGAAACAGGUGCUAAUACCGUAUAUCUCUAAGGAUCGCAUGAUCCUUAGAUGAAAGAUGGUUCUGCUAUCGCUUUUAGAUGGACCCGCGGCGUAUUAACUAGUUGGUGGGGUAAUGGCCUACCAAGGUGAUGAUACGUAGCCGAACUGAGAGGUUGAUCGGCCACAGUGGGACUGUGACACGGCCCAAACUCCUACGGGAGGCAGCAGUAGGGAAUCUUCCACAAUGGACGCAAGUCUGAUGGAGCAACGCCGCGUGAGUGAAGAAGGUCUUCGGAUCGUAAAACUCUGUUGUUAGAGAAGAACACGAGUGAGAGUAACUGUUCAUUCGAUGACGGUAUCUAACCAGCAAGUCACGGCUAACUACGUGCCAGCCGCCGCCGUAACAC
rnacentral:rRNA from 1 species